GGAAGGAUCAUUCACACGUUCUGGUCCCAAUAAUGUGUAACUUUGGGUCAGAUCUUAUACCUUCGGGUAUUUUAUCUGCACCCUAUUCUUCACGAGAUUAGGCCUGGCCUCUGAUCGUGCUGGAUAAAAAUCUGAGAUUACUCAGCAAUGAAUAAAAAAAUCUAAUUCUUUUUAGCGAUGGAUGUCUUGGCUCCCACCACGAUGAAGGACGCAGCGAAAUGUGAUGAACAAUGUGAGUUGCAGAAUUCAGUGAAUCAUUAGACUGUUGAACGCAAAUGGCACUCGCGGGUGUACCUGCGAGUAUGUCUGCUUCAGUGUCUCCAAUAUCCUCUUCCUGUCACAUUUCGGUGUGACGUGUCUAGUGUCACUAUAAUUUAAUUAUUAUAGAGUCGCUGCUUGUAUUGGGGUCGCCGUGUUGCUGUAGUGAAGUAACAAUCUGAACUACACAACAUAGCUAAAGCCCUUUGCUUUACCAACACGACCUGAAGUCAGGCAAGAUUACCCGCUGAAUUUAAGCAUAUUAAUAAGUGGUGGAAAAGAAACUAACCAGGAUUCCCUUAGUAAUGGCGAAUGAACAGGGAAAAGCUCAAGAUGAAAAUCAAAGGUUCUUGCCUUUGAAUUGUAGUCUCAAGAGGUGUUACCAGUGAUGGCGCAGGGAUAAGUCUCUUGGAAAAGAGCAUCAGAGAGGGUGAAAAUCCCGUCUUCGCUCUGUAGACCAUCGCGUACGGCACACCUUCAAAGAGUCGCGUUCCUUGGGAGUGGAGCGUUAAUUGGGAGGUAAAUUUCUUCUAAAGCUAAAUACUUGUGGGAGACCGAUAGCGAACAAGUACCGUGAGGGAAAGAUGAAAAGGACUUUGAAAAGAGAGUUAAAAGUGUCUGAAAUCGCUGAAAAGGAAGCGAAUGGAAUCAUUUCUGUUGGGGUACUUGCGUGUUAUGAAAGUGAAACUUCUGCGUAGACCGUAAGGAUGCGUAGGAACUUAAGCUUGAAUGAUGCGUUUCGUACUCUGACGUAAGCAGCAUCAGUUGCUGACGGAUGAAGACUGGGUAGGAAGGUGAACCUCUCGGGGUUGUUAUAGCCUGCCUUUUGAAGUCCGUUGGCGACUGAGGUCUACUGGUGUCGGCUACACUCACGAGUACUGGCACCAUAAGAUGCUGAUGAAGUGGUUCCAUCCGAUCCGUCUUGAAACACGGACCAAGGAGUCUAACAUGCGUGCAAGUGUACUGUCUGCAAAACUGUACGUGUAAUGAAAGUGAUAGUUGGGAAAUUUGCACCAACGACCGACCCCCCUUGUGGGCCAGGUUUGAGUAAAAGCACAUCUGUUAGGACCCGAAAGAUGGUGAACUAUGCCUGAGUAGUGUGAAGCCAGGGGAAACUCUGGUGGAGGCUCGUAGCGAUACUGACGUGCAAAUCGUUCGUCAAACUUGGGUAUAGGGGCGAAAGACUAAUCGAACCAUCUAGUAGCUGGUUCCCUC
rnacentral:misc_RNA from 1 species